GAAAGUCCUAUACAGGGUUGCAGUUCUUAUGAGUAUACCCUAGAUGGCGCACCUCUCUAAUUUGACCGACAUUCACUACUUUCGCUUUCAAGAGCAAGCACAUGGCAAAAAUCACUUGUGAGGCACGGUGAGAAGGCAAACAUCUAUCCUGUGUGCGUUCAUGCCAAGAAAACCACACACACACACACACACACACGUACUCACUCAUUAAAGCUAUUUUUGGAUGAAACUCUCCGAGCCCUUUACUCUCUUACCGGAGUCUCCAGUUUUCAAGGACUAUCAGAACAUUCCAGAGGUUCCACCUCAACAACAACGUUGUGCAGACAUCGCUCCAACGUAAAUGUGUUUGUUGGGAGUACACCUUGUAUUUACAUUUGAGUGAAAUGUUUGCAUAUAUUGUAACAAAUGCGGGAAAAUAAUGUGCAUAAAACUUGUUCCUAUUAAACUUCC